AAAAUCACAUAAUUUGCCUCUUAGUACAUGACCUUGACGUUUCGACCUUUGUCAAGGUCUUUGCUCCACAAUGUCAUUGCAAAAGACCCUAUGAGUCAAGGACCUUUUGUUUAAGAGUUUUGCCUAAUAAUGGCUUUUUAUAAACCAUAAACGGGGGUUAUGUCCCUUACAUAAUGGUAAAACCAAUACAGUUAUAACGUAACAAAGUUGCCCCUUAAAGUACCAAGCAUUUUUCACUACUUAAAUUUCUGUAUCUAUAACCAUUCCAAAGUUAUAGGGAAAUCAAAAACAAAUAAAAAUCUAAAAUACGACCUUGACCUUUGACCUUGACCUAAUUUUCAUUUUUUUGGACCAAGGACCUCAAAUCAAAAGAUCCUAGGUCUCUAUCAAUUAUGGUGUUCCAGUUUGAAAUACAUUUCAAAAUUUCAAAUACAAAAAGGGAAAUAACUCUCAUAUGGAGCGUUCAUAUUGCUUCGGUCGAAAUUGGACAAAUCAUGCGAAGGAUAUAACGAGCAAUUUUAUAAAAUAAAUUUGUCGUAAUCUUUUACGGUUGCGAAGGAGUUGUGGACACAAGGAAAACAGUGUUUGGGGAGAUAACUCCUACAAAGAAAAGUAUUCGGUUACGCAGGGUAAAUUUCAAAAGUGCAUAAACUGUUCGAUAUCAUAUACCAAAUAUCUAAGCAACAUAUUGCGAAACAAAUGUUUAUCGCAAGAACAAAAUUUGGCGGAAGAAAAAAAAAAAAUUAAAAACCAAUUGUUCAGAGAACAAUUGAAGGUCUUUCCAC
rnacentral:lncRNA from 1 species